AGUAAGCCAGAUGGUCGCGCUUUUUAAGUGAGGAAAGUCCGGGCUUCAUAGGGCAGGGUGCCAGUUAACGACUGGUGGAGGCGACUCUAAGGAUAGUGCAACAGAGAUAGACCGCCUGUAUUUUACAGGUAAGGAUGGAAAGGUGAGGUAAGAGCUCACCGCUUUUAUGGUAACAUAAAAGGCUAUGUAAACCCCACCUGAAGCAAGGCCCAAUAGAGAGACAUAUAAGGGGCUGCCCGUCCCGUCUCGGGUAAGGCCGCAUGAUGACAUUGGCGACAAUGUACCAAGAUAGAUGACCGUUUAACACAGAACCCGGCUUAUAGACUUGCUCA
rnacentral:RNase_P_RNA from 1 species